rnacentral:rRNA from 1 species
GAUGCUAAUACCGGAUAACAACAGAUGAUGCCUAUCAACUGUUUAAAAGAUGGUUCUGCUAUCACUCUUGGAUGGACCUGCGGUGCAUUAGCUAGUUGGUAGGGUAACGGCCUACCAAGGCGAUGAUGCAUAGCCGAGUUGAGAGACUGAUCGGCCACAUUGGGACUGAGACACGGCCCAAACUCCUACGGGAGGCAGCAGNG